rnacentral:rRNA from 1 species
UACGGAGGGUGCAAGCGUUGUCCGGAUUUAUUGGGUUUAAAGGGUGCGUAGGCGGCCGUUUAAGUCCGGGGUGAAAUCCCGGGGCUCAACCCCGGAACUGCCGUUGAUACUGGCGGGCUUGAGUUCGGUGAAGGCGGGCGGAACUGGCGGUGUAGCGGUGAAAUGCUUAGAUACCGCCAAGAACCCCGAUUGCGUAGGCAGCUCGCUGUGCCGAAACUGACGCUGAGGCACGAAAGCGUGGGGAGCGAACAGG